rnacentral:rRNA from 1 species
ACCGGCACUCCGUUAAUGAGAGCUUGCUUCUGAUUGAUAACAUUUGAGUGAGUGGCGGACGGGUGAGUAACACGUGGGUAACCUGCCCUAAAGUGGGGGAUAACAUUUGGAAACAGAUGCUAAUACCGCAUAAAACCUAGCACCGCAUGGUGCAAGGUUGAAAGAUGGUUUCGGCUAUCACUUUAGGAUGGACCCGCGGGCAUUAGUUAGUUGGUGAGGUAAAGGCUCACCAAGACCGUGAUGCAUAGCCGACCUGAGAGGGUAAUCGGCCACACUGGGACUGAGACACGGCCCAGACUCCUACGGGAGGCAGCAGUAGGGAAUCUUCCACAAUGGACGAAAGUCUGAUGGAGCAACGCCGCGUGAGUGAAGAAGGUUUUCGGAUCGUAAAACUCUGUUGUUGGAGAAGAACGUAUUUGAUAGUAACUGAUCAGGUAGUGACGGUAUCCAACCAGAAAGCCACGGCUAACUACGUGCCAGCAGCCGCGGUAAUACGUAGGUGGCAAGCGUUGUCCGGAUUUAUUGGGCGUAAAGCGAGCGCAGGCGGUUUCUUAAGUCUGAUGUGAAAGCCUUCGGCUCAACCGAAGAAGUGCAUCGGAAACUGGGAAACUUGAGUGCAGAAGAGGACAGUGGAACUCCAUGUGUAGCGGUGAAGGCCGUAGAUAAAA